CAAGUCGAGCGGUAGCACAGAGAGCUUGCUCUCGGGUGACGAGCGGCGGACGGGUGAGUAAUGUCUGGGAAACUGCCUGAUGGAGGGGGAUAACUACUGGAAACGGUAGCUAAUACCGCAUAAUGUCGCAAGACCAAAGUGGGGGACCUUCGGGCCUCAUGCCAUCAGAUGUGCCCAGAUGGGAUUAGCUAGUAGGUGGGGUAACGGCUCACCUAGGCGACGAUCCCUAGCUGGUCUGAGAGGAUGACCAGCCACACUGGAACUGAGACACGGUCCAGACUCCUACGGGAGGCAGCAGUGGGGAAUAUUGCACAAUGGGCGCAAGCCUGAUGCAGCCAUGCCGCGUGUGUGAAGAAGGCCUUCGGGUUGUAAAGCACUUUCAGCGGGGAGGAAGGCGAUAAGGUUAAUAACCUUGUCGAUUGACGUUACCCGCAGAAGAAGCACCGGCUAACUCCGUGCCAGCAGCCGCGGUAAUACGGAGGGUGCAAGCGUUAAUCGGAAUUACUGGGCGUAAAGCGCACGCAGGCGGUCUGUCAAGUCGGAUGUGAAAUCCCCGGGCUCAACCUGGGAACUGCAUUCGAAACUGGCAGGCUAGAGUCUUGUAGAGGGGGGUAGAAUUCCAGGUGUAGCGGUGAAAUGCGUAGAGAUCUGGAGGAAUACCGGUGGCGAAGGCGGCCCCCUGGACAAAGACUGACGCUCAGGUGCGAAAGCGUGGGGAGCAAACAGGAUUAGAUACCCUGGUAGUCCACGCCGUAAACGAUGUCGAUUUGGAGGUUGUGCCCUUGAGGCGUGGCUUCCGGAGCUAACGCGUUAAAUCGACCGCCUGGGGAGUACGGCCGCAAGGUUAAAACUCAAAUGAAUUGACGGGGGCCCGCACAAGCGGUGGAGCAUGUGGUUUAAUUCGAUGCAACGCGAAGAACCUUACCUGGUCUUGACAUCCACAGAACUUUCCAGAGAUGGAUUGGUGCCUUCGGGAACUGUGAGACAGGUGCUGCAUGGCUGUCGUCAGCUCGUGUUGUGAAAUGUUGGGUUAAGUCCCGCAACGAGCGCAACCCUUAUCCUUUGUUGCCAGCGGUUAGGCCGGGAACUCAAAGGAGACUGCCAGUGAUAAACUGGAGGAAGGUGGGGAUGACGUCAAGUCAUCAUGGCCCUUACGACCAGGGCUACACACGUGCUACAAUGGCAUAUACAAAGAGAAGCGACCUCGCGAGAGCAAGCGGACCUCAUAAAGUAUGUCGUAGUCCGGAUUGGAGUCUGCAACUCGACUCCAUGAAGUCGGAAUCGCUAGUAAUCGUAGAUCAGAAUGCUACGGUGAAUACGUUCCCGGGCCUUGUACACACCGCCCGUCACACCAUGGGAGUGGGUUGCUAAAAGAAGUAGGUAGCUUAA
rnacentral:rRNA from 1 species